rnacentral:rRNA from 1 species
AAGUCGUAACAAGGUCUCCGUUGGUGAACCAGCGGAGGGAUCAUUACUGAGUGUAAAAACUCCCAAACCACUGUGAACAUACCAUGUUGCUUCGGCGGUUCCCGUCCUGUCCUGCUCACCGCGAGCCAGGCCGGGCCGCCGCCGGAGGACCCAAACUCUUGCCUUUAUAGUGACUUUCUGAGUGGCAUAAGCAAAAUAAAUCAAAACUUUCAGCAACGGAUCUCUUGGUUCUGGCAUCGAUGAAGAACGCAGCAAAAUGCGAUAAGUAAUGUGAAUUGCAGAAUUCAGUGAAUCAUCGAAUCUUUGAACGCACAUUGCGCCCGCCAGUACUCUGGCGGGCAUGCCUGUCUGAGCGUCAUUUCAACCCUCGGGACCCCGUUCGCGGGACCCGGCGCUGGGGAUCAGCUUGUAAAAGAGCUGGCCCUGAGAAUCUAGUGGCGGUCCGCCAGCGAUCUCCUCUGUGCAGUAGUUAAUACCUCGCAGCUGGAUAGCGGUCGGGCACGCCGUAAAACCCCCACUUUCUCAAGGUUGACCUCAGAUCAGGUAGGAAUACCCGCUGAACUUAA